rnacentral:rRNA from 1 species
ACGAACGCUGGCGGCAUGCCUAACACAUGCAAGUCGAACGAGACCUUCGGGUCUAGUGGCGCACGGGUGCGUAACGCGUGGGAACCUGCCCUUAGGUUCGGAAUAACUCCCCGAAAGGGGUGCUAAUACCGGAUAAUGUCUUCGGACCAAAGAUUUAUCGCCUUUGGAUGGGCCCGCGUUGGAUUAGCUAGUUGGUAGGGUAAAAGCCUACCAAGGCGACGAUCCACAGCUGGUCUGAGAGGAUGAUCAGCCACACUGGGACUGAGACACGGCCCAGACUCCUACGGGAGGCAGCAGUGGGGAAUAUUGGACAAUGGGCGAAAGCCUGAUCCAGCAAUGCCGCGUGAGUGAUGAAGGCCUUAGGGUUGUAAAGCUCUUUUACCCGGGAUGAUAAUGACAGUACCGGGAGAAUAAGCUCCGGCUAACUCCGUG